rnacentral:misc_RNA from 1 species
CAGUUGGUUAGAGCGCGCGCUUGAUAAGCGUGAGGUCGGAAGUUCAAGUCUUCCCAGGCCCACCAUUUUGAUCGAGUGCGGAGCAUUCGUCUUCUGGUACGGGGCCAUAGCUCAGCUGGGAGAGCGCGUGCUUUGCAAGCAUGAGGUCGUCGGUUCGAUCCCGUCUGGCUCCACCAGAUGGAAUUGAAGCUCGAUAGCGCCUCGUUCAUUUCGUCCGCGAAACAUCACUUCGCACUCAUUGGUCCGGAUGGACGGUGACGUGCGUGUUUUCUGACAUCGUAAAGAGGAGAUCGAUCCGAGUUUGGAUCAAGCGAAGCAAUUCGCCUGAGCCAUUCAUUAUCUCCGGGAUCAUUUCGGCGCUCGCUUCAAUCGUGAGAUUGGAUGCGGGUUGUAAAUGAUCCCUUUUAGCGAAGCUUGACCGCCUCGCUAUCGGGCCGAUCUUACGAAGCAAGCUGGUCUUUCUAGUCGAUGUCCGGCUGCGCAAUCGCAUUCAUCGAGGAUGCGUGCCUGAGACUUCGGUCUUCGGGCAGUUGUGCAGACAACAUUCUGCCGAGUGUGUGGACAUUGAUAAUGAGAGCAAUCAAGUGCCUUAAGGGUGUUCGGUGGAUGCCUUGGCGCUGAGAGGCGAUGAAGGACGUGCUACGCUGCGAUAAGCCGUGGGGAGCUGCGAAGAAGCUUUGAUCCGCGGAUUUCCGAAU